AAAAAGUGAAGGAGAACGAACAGAAGGGAGGAAAAACUUGAGAAAAAGGAACUAGAAUUUUUUUUCAUUUUUAGAUUUUGGUUCUUUCUUUUUCUAGAAAAUACAAGUCAGAGAUUUUUUUUCUCUCUUUAUGGUUUAAUCUCUGCUACAAAUUCACAAGAAAAAAAAAAGAUCUUUCACUUUUAUGUUUCUUUCAAUACUGAAUUUGGGUGUUAAAACGGAGUUCAGUUAAGACGAGGUUCGAUUUGCCGAUUCAAGAUUCUGUUCGGGUUCGGUUUGAGAUUCUUGCUAUUUUUAAUUUGACCUUGUUUAUGGUUCAUAUCCUGUCCGAGUAGCUACUAUGAGAUUUGAAUAUAUUGAAAAGCAAUUCAGGUCCCUCUUUCUCCUCUUUUCUGUUAUUUG
rnacentral:lncRNA from 1 species